GUUUGUAACGGUUCAUUUGUUUAUGAAACGUUGUUGUUUAUUUUUCUGUGUAAUGUGUAAAUUUGAAAAAAAAGUAAAAACUUGUAAAGAAAAAAUAACAAAGUAUUUUAAUAAUAUUCUAGGGGGAAGAAAAAAUUCAUAGUUUUUUUAUAGUUAGAUUCUCUCACAAAAACAGCAAAUUCACACAUUCAGCUGCAAAGAAAUUGAAACUGAUUAGCAAAACUUACUUUAUGGUCCAACAAAUUUUAAAAACUAAAAGCUGAAGUUAAAAAAAUAAAAUAUUAAAAUUAGUGUGAAAAAAACGAAUUUUCAACAACUGUAAAAAGAGUUCUUAUAAUAAAAAAUAAAAAUAAUAAAAAAUAACUUUACAUCUAUAUUUUGAACGUCAGCGUCAUUAUUUGUUCAUCAUCCGAUGAGAACAUUCGUAUUAUUUAAUUCUUUCUCUCUCAUCGUCUUGUGUGUUCCUUUAAAGCGGAAGUCGGACAGAGGACAACCACACAGAGAAAUAUAAAAGUUCAGCAUAACAAUACGAACAUCCUUCCAAAUAAUCAGCAGAAUUUGAAAAAUUAAUAAUAAAUAAUAAGACGGAGCAACUAUAUGAAAACAACACGUGUAA